GCUAGGGUAGCUCAGCUGGUAGAGCAUGAUUCUCUUAAUAUCAGAGUCGUGGGUUCAAAAUCCACACUGGGCA